rnacentral:rRNA from 1 species
AUUGAACGCUGGCGGCAUGCUUUACACAUGCAAGUCGAACGGCAGCGGGGUAGUGCUUGCACUACUGCCGGCGAGUGGCGAACGGGUGAGUAAUAUAUCGGAACGUACCGAGUAAUGGGGGAUAACCAAUCGAAAGAGUGGCUAAUACCGCAUACGUCCUGAGGGAGAAAGCGGGGGAGCAAAAGACCGCGCGUUAUUCGAGCGGCCGAUAACUGAUUAGCUAGUUGGUGGGGUAAAGGCCUACCAAGGCGACGAUCAGUAGCGGGUCUGAGAGGACGAUGCGCCACACUGGAACUGAGACACGGCCCAGACUCCUACGGGAGGCAGCAGUGGGGAAUUUUGGGCAAUGGGGGCAAGCCUGAUCCAGCCAUGCCGCGUGUAUGAAGAAGGCCUUCGGGUUGUAAAGUACUUUUGUUAGGGAAGAAAAGGGAAGUGCUAAUACCACUUUUUGCUGACGGUACCUAAAGAAUAAGCACCGGCUAACUACGUG